UCGGGAAUUUUGGGCAAUGGGCGAAAGCCUGACCCAGCAACGCCGCGUGAAGGAUGAAGUAUUUCGGUAUGUAAACUUCGAAAGAAUAGGAAGAAUAAAUGACGGUACUAUUUAUAAGGUCCGGCUAACUACGUGCCAGCAGCCGCGGUAAUACGUAGGGACCAAGCGUUGUUCGGAUUUACUGGGCGUAAAGGGCGCGUAGGCGGCUUGACAAGUCACUUGUGAAAUCUCUGGGCUUAACCCAGAACGGCCAAGUGAAACUGUCAUGCUAGAGUGCAGAAGGGGCAAUCGGAAUUCUUGGUGUAGCGGUGAAAUGCGUAGAUAUCAAGAGGAACACCUGAGGUGAAGACGGGUUGCUGGGCUGACACUGACGCUGAGGCGCGAAAGCCAGGGGAGCAAACGGGAUUAGAUACCCCUGUAGUCCCUGAGCGGGCUGGCAAGGCGCAU
rnacentral:rRNA from 1 species